AAGAAUCCUGUAUUAAAAAAAAGCCCUGGAAGUGAUGGAAUUCGAGAGAAGCUACGAGAACAAGUGACAGUCAAGCAGGAGAAGGGGGGAGAAGAAGGCGCCAAACUGCUCGAAAGUCUCAAUGUAUUUCAAGUUUUUUCACCUCAAAGACGGUGAGACGAAUGCUUUGCCCCGUCUUUGCGUAUAUCCCGGUUCGUCAUGACGACCUGUCGUUUUCCCGUGGGCGGAACACUGCGCUAUAUUGCAUGCUGGCAGGUGCGGAUUGAAAACGGAGAGCCCCCCAUUGACCUGCGUCACCACAGCUGCAGCAGUAGCUUUGGAUGCAAUUGUCAUAAGAGGUUUAGUGGGCUGAAGUUUUGCAAACUGAAGGGAAAAGGUUGCUGGUCUUCUCCUGGAAGCUGGUUUCAGGUGGUGGCUUAGAGUUCUUCAUGUGUUUAAUCUAGCACCAUUUGAAAUCAGUGUUCUUGGAGCAAGAAAAACAUCAAUCAGCUUGACGAGAGAGGAGCGCUGGAGACUUGAGCUGAACUGCAACAUCAAUCAGCCUGACUGAGCUGAACUGAGAUGAACUACACUCCAUGCCUGUGGGUGAACUGUCACAAGAGGCCCUGCUCUUUAUACAGGAGAGCCAGGUUGUUUUGCAAGGUUAUACUAUUCACUUGCCAUAGUUUGUCAUGCUUUACCAUAUCUCUCUGGGCUUUACAUUGCUUACCUAGCUAUGCUUUAUUACUUUCCUUAUUUCUAUAGUGAACUUUUGCAUCUUAAAAAGCUGGCAAAGGUACAUUAACUUCCAAGUAGUAACACUGUAGUUACCAUGUACUAGUAUUUACUACAUGCACAUUGUGUGAUUGUGAGGGCAGGACGCCAUACAUUCAGCUACAUGUAGUUAACAAAGAUUUAUGUAGGAAGACAGAAAUAUCAUUUAAUCAAAAUUAUUUUGCUGCCAAGCUUCAGUGUCAAAACUUCGUAAGUGCAGAGUCCUGAGUUUUUCUGGGUUGAGAAACAGUUUGCAAUGCAGACAUAACUGGAAGCCCAUACAUGCUGCACAUAAUGAUCUUGUUCAUUACUAUUAUUAUUAUUAUUAUAAUUUAUUUCUUAGCAGACGCCCUUAUCCAGGGCAACUUACAAUUGUUACAAGAUAUCACAUUCUUUUUAAAUACAAUAACCCAUUAUGUUGUGCAUGCUCUCUCCCACCCCACAGCACAUGGACUUUACUCUGAGCCCUCUUCCCAAGGUUGACCGAUUUCUUUUGGUGUUCAGAGUCAUCAUCAGUUUCUAGCACCAUUUGAAAUCGGUUACAAUUUAGGAGGUAUAGCAGCAAAAAAAACCAAAAAAAACCUGCAAACAAAUCCCUUGCAUUGCAUGUAGUUCAUUGUUGCUGAAAUGAUUUAUGUUAUUUUUUAUAUGUUUUGAUAUUGUUCAGUAUGUCAAAAGCACAAUAAAAAUAAUAAUAAAAAAAAAUGUAGACUGCUCAAAAUUCAAUAAAUAGUCCUUAGCAAAUUCACGGCAUGAAUACACUAAUAGGCUUGCUAAAACAGCCUGCCUUGGAUGAUCUGCACAGGGAAAGUUUUUAUGCAUUUGUAUAAUGUCUUGAAAGGUUUUGUAAUGCUGGUAUAA